UGAAAACAGAUAUUGUGACUGAUUCCACGUAAAGCCGUCGGUCUAAACCUCUCCCCGUGCUACUUACUGAUUAAAGUCAUCAAUCAAAGUGGAAGACAAGGCUAUAUAGAUUACAUGUUUUUGAAGAUUUACAGACUAGAACCACGUUUGCUUUGAACAUCGCAUCAUGAUGAAAGAAAGGCACAAGAUGAGACAGUGUUAUUGCUUAUCACUUAUCAGAUUCCCAGAGCUUGCAUUCUAAAACCCAUCACCUAUGACCCUCCUCAGUGCACAUAGAUCUCAUUGAACUUCGAUUUUAAAAACCAAGCUCAAAGUUACUCCUGGGUUUUACUUAUAUCUGUAAUCAAUGCAAACAGAAACAAAAUAAGUAAAAAGUCCGGAAUAAGCCUAUAGGCGGUUGCAAAGUAAACAACUAUGUUAUGUUUUUGUCCCAUAUCGCUUAGCUAGAAGGAAGGUGGUCAUAUCCUGAUGAGUAUAAAUAAGAGGCCUUGUCUAACUUCCAAUUCAUACCUUUCUCGGCCUCUUGGCUAAGAUCAAGUGUAGUAUCUGUUCUUAUCAGUUUAAUAUCUGAUAUGUGGGUCAUCGGCCCACACGAUAUUAACUCUAUUUUUUUAGGGUGAAAGCCCUCCAAGAUAGCUUGCUAUUUGGGCUUUCGUGAGUCGCCCAUGCGUUGCACUAUUGCAAGGGCCUGGCUCAACCCAUCAAUCAACAAGUCCAAUUUUUAAGUGAUUACUCUAAUAAACAAAGCUUAAUACCAUUAAAUACGCCCAUGGUUUCCUAAGGGUUUGGCUAUGUUUCGGUUAGCUUGAAGAUGAUCAAAGCUCGUUGAACUCGGAAUCCUCCAUCCCCAGUUUCCCACCUUUUGCGUAAUGUCCACAUUGUUAGCACUUAGAAAGCAACAGUCUAAUAACUGCCAACACAUGGACUAUGUGAUAAAGCAGCAAUGUCUAUUUUUCAAAUUUCAUUCUAGCUUUUUGAUUAUGAUAAAAAAAAAGUCGGCUAACCUCAGUGGCUGGAGUGUUCAUCAUGGCACAACUUCCAAGUCCGAGGAUGUCUUGCAUCGGUAUGAAUGAGGUCUGAGCAAUUGAAGAGAACGCAGCUUUGGAUAAGUGACCAUGAGAUAUCGUCUUCUUCAGCUACUGAAAGGUUAUCUAUAGCUUCACUAAAAUCAAUUAAAGCUGAGAGCAGAGCUUACAGUGUCGUUGUCAUGAGUUCCAGAGUAUACAACUUAGUUCAAUUCGUGAUUAUGAGGUAAAUGUGGGUUAUCUGCGCCGCCUGCAA